UAAAAACACUUCAUUUUCAUUUUUGGCUCGAACACUAAAUUUAAAAUCUCAAAUCAGAAAAGAUCCAACAAAAUUUGAAGAUUCAACAAUAGUUUUUCUGUUAACCUCUCCGUUUACCAGAACAAGAACAAGAACAACAUGAUUGAAACACGCUCUGCAAAGAGAAAAUCCAACCACCAGAAUCAACCCAACAAGAAGAAACGUAUCGUGUUAGGGGAACUUCCCAAUUCAACCAAUCUCAUUGCUCCUCAAAAAAGCCUUAAAAAUCUCAACCCCAGAAAACCAACACCGGGGAAGAAGAACAAGAUCCCUAGUGAAGACUUCGAUGUCCCAGUUGUUUCAUCGGUCUACAUGCAUCUUCGCUCAAUGGAGAUGGAGAAAAAGAAAAGACCGAUGAUGGAUUACAUGGUUAUAGUUCAGAGAGAUAUUACUCCGCAUAUGAGAGGGAUUUUGAUUGAUUGGUUGGUUGAGGUUGCGGAAGAAUACAAGCUUGUUCCUGAUACGCUUCAUCUUGCUGUUUCGUACAUAGAUAGGUUUCUGUCUUUUAAUGAUAUCAAUAGGACCAAGCUUCAGUUGUUGGGUGUUUCAUCCAUGCUCAUUGCAUCGAAACAUGAAGAAAUUAGCCCGCCUUAUGUGGAAGAGUUUUGUUUUAUAACCGACAAUUCAUAUAACAAAGUUGAGGUUUUAGAGAUGGAAGCUAACAUACUCAAAACCCUAGAGUUUGAUACAGCCAAUCCAACUGUUAAGACUUUUCUAAGGAGGUUUAAUGAUAUUGCCUGUGAGAAAAAAAAUGUUUCAAGUUUGCAGUUUGAGUUCUUGAGUAACUAUCUUGCCGAGCUAAGUUUAUUGGAUUGUGUUUGUUUGAGGUUCUUGCCUUCUUUGGUGGCUGCGUCUGUCACAUUGCUUGCUCGAUUCAUUGUUUGGCCUAAAGCUUCCCCUUGGGCAAACACCAGCCCUGCAAGAAUACUCUAGAUAUAAACCAGAUGAGUUGAAAGAAUGCGUUCUCAUCUUACAUGAUUUGUAUAUGGCUAGAAGGGAAGCUUCAUUUGAUGCUUCUCGAGAGAAAUACAAGCAGCAUAAGUUUAAACAUGUGGCAAACCUGCCUUCGCCUCCUCUUUUACCAAGUUCUCUGUUUGAAGUUGAGUGAAGUAAUUAGAUGAAACUUGGUUAACUUUUUGAAGUGGUUCAACUUUCUGAUGGAUCUGACUAUAUUUUAUGCAAGAAGCAUGCUACAUUGGCAGGGGGCUUGAAUAUGACUUUACUAAGAAGUAAUUAUGAUGCCGAAUAUCAAUUCUGUGGAGGUUAUAUGGUAUAUAAAAGUUAGUUUAAUUGGCUAUUAAGUUGUGGUCAAGACAUCCAUACUUUUUUAGCCUAGUUAGGCAUUGAAUAUGUAUUAGCUUUAAUUCCAGUUGCAGUCUACAUUGUAAACUUCCACUUUAGAAAUAGCAAGGGUGGUUUGUCUUUGUGCUGACAUACAAUGUACAUUGGCGUCUUUUGUUCAUCAUGAAAAUGUAAAUGUUUCUCUAUGUUGAUAAUUUCAGUGUACUUGUUACUGAACCUGCUCUAAGCAGUUUAUAUAAGCUAUUUCUUAGUUUCUUUUCUGAUAAUAA